GCCGGGAUGGCGGAAUGGUAGACGCGGCGGACUCAAAAUCCGCUGGGCGCAAGCCCGUGUGGGUUCAAGUCCCACUCCCGGUA
rnacentral:tRNA from 1 species